rnacentral:rRNA from 1 species
AUGGCAGUCACCGCGACCGACAUGGACCGCAUGGCGAACGGCGCCGUCGAGUCCUCCGCCGAGUCCCCGGCCGCGGAGGCGCCUCCGGAGGCCAGGACCAAAGGCCGCGGGCUCCGUCGGUGGCGCCGUAUCCAGCGGGAGCACCGCGCGGAAGGCCCCGCUGCCCCCGCCACUGCCGCUGGUGGCAGAGGUCGUGCAGAUGACGACGCGGCACAGCUCCACAAGCGCCGGCUGCCCAUCGGCGCCGCCGCGCCCCCCAAGGAGAAGCACGAGGUGGCCGUCGAGGAGGUGGAGAGCUCCACCGCUUCCGUCGAGUCCCGCUUCGUCCCACUGGAGCCAGUGCCGGCGCCGGCGCCAGCGAAGCUGGACCCGGAUCUCGGCCUGCUCGUCUCCUCCGUCGGCUUCUCGGUCGGCGCAGGCGGCGCUGACUCCGACAACAGCGAGGACCGGAGCAGCAAGUCCUCCACCGCCGCGAGCGCCCCGCGCCACGACUUCCCGCGCGAGCGAGACAGGCUGCGUGCUCACACCGCCGCCGCCAUCCACGGGAAGAAUCACCGGACCGCGCGCGCGCGAGCCGACAGGCAGAGCGCUCACACAGCCUUCUCCCUGGCCAAGGCCGAGGCCGAUAACUCUCGUUGGAGCGUCGAGUCCGACCGCCGCAGCUCUAAUGCCGUCCAUGGCCGGAAACAGGGGGUCGGCAGCAUCGGCAAUGGCAUCCACAAGGAACUUUCUGAUGGUGAUGACCACAGCGAUGAAGGGCAGCCAAGCGAUGAGAUGCGAUCAACAGCUGGAGGUUACUGCACGCAGAGUGGGAGUAGUGUGGUGGGAAAAUUGGGUGGCGGAAAUGGUGAUUCUGGUGAUGCUGAUGUUGAGGACACAUUUGAUGAGGGGGGUGUUGGGAAGGGUGAGAUGGGAUUAGAGAUGAACUCAUGUGCCAACCCAUUUGCGGAAUCUAUUUUGUCACUUCAGAGAACGCAGGAAGCUCUCGAGAAUGAGAUACGGAACUUUGUGGUGAUCGGGAAAGAAUCAACCGAUGAUCUUGAUGCACGUGAUGAUGAAUGGAGCAACUCGCUCCACAUUGAGGAAUCUGUUGAAGAAGCAAAUGAAAAGAGAAAGGAUCUUGAGUCAAGGGUGGAACAAGCAUCAAUACUGAUCAAGGAGAAGGAUUCAAGAAUACUUGAACUAGAAGCUCUCAGCCGGACGAGGGCGUGGAGAAGUGCAAUUCAGAGUGCUAACAACCAGCUGUUGCAGCCGGAUCUUGAUCAACUGCUCCAGGAGAAGAUGGAAGCGGAGAUUCAGUGCAUCAUCCUGACAAGAGCCUCUCAAACCUGGACACCCGUUGCCGAGGAUCGGAAAGCUCUCUACAAGGAGCAGAAAUGUCUGCUUGGCGACUACAAGCAGCUCGAACUCAAACUGCGUAGUGCCGAGAACCGAGCAGCAAUACUAGGGGAGAUGGUGGAGAAGCUGGAGGCGCAAUGCAAAGAGCUCUCUGCGAGUGCAGAAAUCUUGCAGCUGCAAUCUAGAACAAGCUCCGCGUCACUGUUAUGUUUCAUCCAGUUUAUACUGCUGCUUAUUGCCAUAGGCAUCUAUGUUGUGCGUCUGUCUCCAUCCUCGGCCGAGUUUGUACCUACGUGA